GUGGGGAAUAUUGGACAAUGGGCGAAAGCCUGAUCCAGCCAUGCCGCGUGUGUGAAGAAGGUCUUCGGAUUGUAAAGCACUUUAAGUUGGGAGGAAGGGUAGUAACCUAAUACGUUGCUACUUUGACGUUACCGACAGAAUAAGCACCGGCUAACUUCGUGCCAGCAGCCGCGGUAAUACGAAGGGUGCAAGCGUUAAUCGGAAUUACUGGGCGUAAAGCGCGCGUAGGUGGUUCAGUAAGUUGGAAGGGAAAUCACCGGGGUCAACCUGGGAACUGCGUUCAAAACUGCUGAGCUAGAGUACGGUAGAGGGUGGUGGAAUUUCCUGUGUAGCGGUGAAAUGCGUAGAUAUAGGAAGGAACACCAGUGGCGAAGGCGACCACCUGGACUGAUACUGACACUGAGGUGCGAAAGCGUGGGGAGCAAACAGGAUUAGAAACCCCUGUAGUCC
rnacentral:rRNA from 1 species